UACAGAGGUCUCAAGCGUUGUUCGGAUUCAUUGGGCGUAAAGGGCGCGUAGGUGGUUAGGUAAGCCCUCCGGGAAAUCUUCAGGCUUAACCUGAAAAGGUCGGGGGGGACUGCCUGGCUAGAGGACGGGAGAGGAGCGCGGAAUUCACGGUGUAGCGGUGAAAUGCGUAGAGAUCGGGAGGAAGGCCGGUGGCGAAGGCAGCCCCCUGGGCUAACACUGACGCUCAGGCACGAAAGCGUGGGGAGCAAACAGG
rnacentral:rRNA from 1 species